UACGUAGGGCGCAAGCGUUGUCCGGAAUUAUUGGGCGUAAAGAGCUCGUAGGCGGUUUGUCGCGUCUGCUGUGAAAACCUAGGCUCAACCUUGGGCUUGCAGUGGGUACGGGCAGACUAGAGUGCGGUAGGGGUGACUGGAAUUCCUGGUGUAGCGGUGAAAUGCGCAGAUAUCGAGGAGGAACACCGAUGGCGAAGGCAGGUC
rnacentral:rRNA from 1 species